UACGUAGGGGGCAAGCGUUGUCCGGAUUUAUUGGGCGUAAAGAGCGUGUAGGCGGUUUGGUAGGUCCGCUGUGAAAACUCGAGCUCAACCUCGAGACGCCGGUGGAAACCAUCAGACUAGAGUCCGGAAGAGGAGAGUGGAAUUCCUGGUGUAGCGGUGAAAUGCGCAGAUAUCAGGAGGAACACCAAUGGCGAAGGCAGAUCUCUGGGCCGUAACUGACGCUGAGGAGCGAAAGCAUGGGGAGCGAACAGG
rnacentral:rRNA from 1 species